GACCAUUGAUUCAGAGUACUUGAGAGGCACCAUGGCUGCAGUUCACUCUGUUCUCAAGCACGCUUCUUGCCCAGACAACACCUUCUUCCACUUCAUCGCCUCAGAUUCAAUUUUGGUCAAUUUACAGGACCUCACUCGCAUUGUCCAAUCCACCUUCCCUUCCCUGAGUUUCAGAGUUUAUGUUUUCAGGGAAAGACUCGUCAACAAUCUGAUUUCGUCUUCGAUUCGAC
rnacentral:lncRNA from 1 species